GCCGUGCCAGGGGGCGGGCGCUAGACUGUGGCUUAGGUGGGCAACAGGAGAAUGUUCUCAGAUGAAUCUGAGGGCUCAAGCGGAACACACUGUCUCCUCGUGUCCUCUGUGUUAUCCAGGUUUUAUGUAGGCCCUGCUAACCCCAGGGUCGCAUAACUGUUAUGUCCCAUCCCGCACACCACGGGGGGUGUAACAUGAGGAAUCAGACGAGGUGGGAGGCAGAGAUACUUAAAGAACUUGCAGACUCCUGUCUUUACAGUGAUGGUGAUGGAAACCAGGACUCUUAACGUCUACAAUCCAAAACCACCAGUGAACCUACACGUCUUCUGAGUUUUAUGUACCACUGAUGAUGG
ensembl:lncRNA